GUGGGGAAUCUUGCGCAAUGGGCGAAAGCCUGACGCAGCCAUGCCGCGUGAAUGAUGAAGGUCUUAGGAUUGUAAAAUUCUUUCACCGGGGACGAUAAUGACGGUACCCGGAGAAGAAGCCCCGGCUAACUUCGUGCCAGCAGCCGCGGUAAUACGAAGGGGGCUAGCGUUGCUCGGAAUUACUGGGCGUAAAGGGAGCGUAGGCGGAUAGUUUAGUCAGAGGUGAAAGCCCAGGGCUCAACCUUGGAAUUGCCUUUGAUACUGGCUAUCUUGAGUAUGGAAGAGGUAUGUGGAACUCCGAGUGUAGAAGUGAAAUUCGUAGAUAUUCGGAAGAACACCAGUGGCGAAGGCGACUCACUGGCCCAAUACUGACGCUGAGGCGCGAAAGCGUGGGGAGCAAACAGGAUUAGAAACCCGUGUAGUCC
rnacentral:rRNA from 1 species